UCCUGGGCGCAGCUACACAUGCAGUCGAGCGGUAGAGAGAAGCUUGCUUCUCUUGAGAGCGGCGGACGGGUGAGUAAUGCCUAGGAAUCUGCCUGGUAGUGGGGGAUAACGUCCGGAAACGGACGCUAAUACCGCAUACGUCCUACGGGAGAAAGCAGGGGACCUUCGGGCCUUGCGCUAUCAGAUGAGCCUAGGUCGGAUUAGCUAGUUGGUGAGGUAAUGGCUCACCAAGGCGACGAUCCGUAACUGGUCUGAGAGGAUGAUCAGUCACACUGGAACUGAGACACGGUCCAGACUCCUACGGGAGGCAGCAGUGGGGAAUAUUGGACAAUGGGCGAAAGCCUGAUCCAGCCAUGCCGCGUGUGUGAAGAAGGUCUUCGGAUUGUAAAGCACUUUAAGUUGGGAGGAAGGGCAGUUGCCUAAUACGUAACUGUUUUGACGUUACCGACAGAAUAAGCACCGGCUAACUCUGUGCCAGCAGCCGCGGUAAUACAGAGGGUGCAAGCGUUAAUCGGAAUUACUGGGCGUAAAGCGCGCGUAGGUGGUUUGUUAAGUUGGAUGUGAAAUCCCCGGGCUCAACCUGGGAACUGCAUUCAAAACUGACUGACUAGAGUAUGGUAGAGGGUGGUGGAAUUUCCUGUGUAGCGGUGAAAUGCGUAGAUAUAGGAAGGAACACCAGUGGCGAAGGCGACCACCUGGACUAAUACUGACACUGAGGUGCGAAAGCGUGGGGAGCAAACAGGAUUAGAUACCCUGGUAGUCCACGCCGUAAACGAUGUCAACUAGCCGUUGGAAGCCUUGAGCUUUUAGUGGCGCAGCUAACGCAUUAAGUUGACCGCCUGGGGAGUACGGCCGCAAGGUUAAAACUCAAAUGAAUUGACGGGGGCCCGCACAAGCGGUGGAGCAUGUGUUUAAUUCGAAGCAACGCGAAGAACCUUACCAGGCCUUGACAUCCAAUGAACUUUCCAGAGAUGGAUUGUGCCUUCGGGAACAUUGAGACAGGUGCUGCAUGGCUGUCGUCAGCUCGUGUCGUGAGAUUGUUGGGGUUAAG
rnacentral:rRNA from 1 species